rnacentral:rRNA from 1 species
UACAGGGGGUGCAAACGUUGCUCGGAAUCAUUGGGCGUAAAGCGCGUGUAGGCGGUUGCCCAAGUCGGGUGUGAAAGCCUUGAGCUCAACUCAAGAAAUGCACUCGGUACUGGGUGACUAGAGGACCGGAGAGGAUAGUGGAAUUCCCAGUGUAGUGGUGAAAUACGUAGAGAUUGGGAAGAACACCAGUGGCGAAGGCGGCUAUCUGGACGGUUUCUGACGCUAAGACGCGAAAGCGUGGGGAGCAAACAGG